rnacentral:rRNA from 1 species
GACGUAGGGCGCGAGCGUUGUCCGGAUUUAUUGGGCGUAAAGAGCUCGUAGGCGGCUUGUCGCGUCGAAUGUGAAAUCCCGAGGCUCAACUUCGGGCUUGCAUUCGAUACGGGCAGGCUAGAGUUCGGUAGGGGAGACUGGAAUUCCUGGUGUAGCGGUGAAAUGCGCAGAUAUCAGGAGGAACACCGAUGGCGAAGGCAGUGGUCUGGGCCGAUACUGACGUGGAGGAGCGAAAGCGUGGGGAGCGAACAGG